rnacentral:rRNA from 1 species
UACGUAGGGAGCAAGCGUUGUCCGGAAUCAUUGGGCGUAAAGCGCGCGUAGGUGGCCUCAUAAGUCCGCUGUGAAAGUCAAAGGCUCAACCUUUGAAAGCCGGUGGAUACUGUGGGGCUAGAGUACGGAAGAGGAGAGUGGAAUUCCUGGUGUAGCGGUGAAAUGCGCAGAUAUCAGGAAGAACACCCGUGGCUAAGGCGGCUCUCUAGUACGGUACUGACGCUGAGACGCGAAAGCGUGGGGAGCAAACAGG